rnacentral:rRNA from 1 species
CCUACGGGGUGCUGCAGUAGGGAAUCUUUCACAAUGGGCGAAAGCCUGAUGGAGUAACGCCGCGUGCAGGAUGAAGGCCUUCGGGUUGUAAACUGCUUUUAUAAGCGAGAAAUAUGAUGGUAACUUAUGAAUAAGGAUCGGCUAACUACGUGCCAGCAGCCGCGGUCAUACGUAGGAUCCGAGCAUUAUCCGGAGUGACUGGGUGUAAAGAGUUGCGUAGGUGGCAUAAUAAGUAGCUAGUGAAAUCUGGUGGCUCAACCAUUCAGACUAUUAGCUAAACUGUUAAGCUCGAGACCGUUAGGGGUAACUGGAAUUUCUAGUGUAGGAGUGAAAUCCGUAGAUAUUAGAAGGAACACCAAUAGCGUAGGCAGGUUGCUGGGACGGUUCUGACACUAAGGCACGAAAGCGUAGGGAGCAAACGGGAUUAGAUACCCCAGUAGUC